AUCUGAAGAAUGAAUGGUGAAGCCCCCGAAUUCAGAGAAUGAGCACAGCUUAUAUAGGGAUCCGAAGGAUCAUGACUGUUGGAGGAAGUCAGAAGAAGUUUCAGUCGGGGCGUCGGCUUGUAGAAGGCUUGGUCGAAUAUUGUUGCUGGCAGAUGAAAGGCUGAGGUUAAGUCGACACGAGGGCAGCAGGUUGGUUCAAUGAAUGGGAACAUAAUGUGUGCUUCUGGUCAUAAAGCUUGAAGAUUGAAAUAGCAAAAUCGAAAGUGUGUCUAGAAUAGGAUUAGGAUAUUUUCUUUGUAGUUUUCGAUGUGAAUGUUUCGGCGUAAUGACUUGGAAUUGAUUUUGUGUAAUUGUGGAUGAACUCAGAUGUCGUAAUGAUAAUGGGAAUUGAAAGAUUGUAUAGAUCAAA